rnacentral:rRNA from 1 species
GAUGAACGCUGGCGGCGUGCCUAAUACAUGCAAGUCGAGCGAACAGACGAGGAGCUUGCUCCUCUGACGUUAGCGGCGGACGGGUGAGUAACACGUGGAUAACCUACCUAUAAGACUGGGAUAACUUCGGGAAACCGGAGCUAAUACCGGAUAAUAUAUUGAACCGCAUGGUUCAAUAGUGAAAGACGGUUUUGCUGUCACUUAUAGAUGGAUCCGCGCCGCAUUAGCUAGUUGGUAAGGUAACGGCUUACCAAGGCAACGAUGCGUAGCCGACCUGAGAGGGUGGUAGGCCCAACUGGAACUGGAACAGCGUCCCGGCUCCUACGGGAGGCAGCAGUAGGGAAUCUUACGCAAUGGGGGGAAACCUGGCGGAGCAAAGGCGGGUGGGUGGUGGAAGUCUUCGGAUCGUGAAACCCUGUUAUUAGGGGAAAACCAAUGUGGAAGGUAACAAGGACGGCUUGACGGUAACUAAUAAAGAAGCCACGGCUAACUACGUG